AGCCAAUCAGCAGUAGGGGGCGUGUUCACUCAUGAUAGGGGAGGAGAGAGAGUGAGCCAAUCAGCAGUAGGGGGCGUGUUCACUCAUGAUGAGGGAGGAGAGAGAGUGAGCCAAUCAGCAGUAGGGGGCGUGUUCACUCAUGAUGAGGGAGGA